CUUGAGCACUUGUGGCUAAAAGGGGUCAAAGCCCCUUUUUCUUUUCAGAUUCUCUCUCUCUCUCUCGCAGCCUCCCUUUCUCUCCUAUUUUUCUUUUAUUUUUCUUUUCUUUUGGAGGUUUCAAUUUCUACUCCAUUUUUCCGCCAAUAGAUCGGGUUCUUGGUUUUGGUUCCUUGACAGAAAAUGUUCCUCUCGUCAUUCUCUAUCACAUAGUUAAAGGAUUUAAUUUUUGGAGAGGCGAUGAUUAUUUUAUGAAUUUUUAAAAAUUUUGAAUUUAAGGCUUCGAAUGGGUUUUUAGGCCACUUGGAGUCGGAUUCCAGAGGCACGCCUUUGGAAUAGUAGAAUCUCCUUGUCGUCGGCUACGUUCCCACCGAACAAUUUUCCGUUCCGCCGUCGUUGACCUGCGUUGACCGACAUUGACUUUCCGGUCAGGGAUGCAUUUUGGCUACUUUUGAGGUAGGAAUGUCUAAAUUAUUAAGUUUUGACUUUAGUUGAGUUCGUAUACUUGAAUUCGUGAUAAAACAUGCUUAAAAUGAUAAAAGAUACAAUAACACAGAUAUAUAUUUAGAGAGAGAGUUUUUGGAAGGGAUUUCAGAAAGUACUCACCUAUUUAAAGCUCUGAUCUACAAAGCCAUAGUGGGGAGGAGGCGGGAGGAGGCGGCGGUCAUGGUGGGAAGGAAGUGGAAGGAGGCGGCGACCAUGGUGGGGAGGAGGCGGCAUGGAUGAUUUUGGGAUUGUUUGGUUUCGGUUUUUAUUAUGUCCCGUUUUAUGUUUCUUUGAUUUAGCUUAUCCUAAUUUUAUACAAAUUGAGGUUUAUUUUAUUCUUGUCCUAAACAAACACAAUUUUAUACAAAUUGAAUAAAAGACUCAUUUUACAUGGUUUGCAAUUAUAGUUAUUAAUGUAUUUAACUGAAGGGAGAGGAUAUCAUUUUAUAUCAUGAACCUAUUUGCACCAAAUUAAUAGUGCGGAUUGGUUUUAUAUCACACAUGUACCUUUUUGCACUCUACCAGUAGUUGAGGUUUCGUUUUUUUGUUUUUGGUUUUUUGCACUUAACCCAUUACUCUUUUAGCCAUUAACAGGGAGAGGUAAUGAAGCAGCAAUACGCACACAAUGGUGGGCCGAUUGGUUCGAAACAAGCUAUUGAACUCUAAGCCCUUUCCUUCCAUGGCCUCUUCGUCGUCAGUCUCAUUUCAGUUAUAAAAAUCGUUUUGAUUAUAAAAGUUGUGGUUCUCUGGAGCAAAUCGUCGAACAUGUGAAGCAUGUUUGGAAUCAAUACCCAUUUUUCACCGCUCCCUAUCUAAAACCCACAAGAUUUCUCACCAACCAUAAUCCAAAUCAAACAACAAAAAUCACCGCCACAAUCGAAACCCCACCAGAUUUCGCUCUCCUUCUCUCCUACACUCUGAAGCUCUUCAGCCUCAAGCUUAAAAACACACUUCGAAUUUGACAUUAAGAGAGACAGGAGGGAAAGACACAGCUGGAUUUAGGGUUUCCGGGAACAAAAGUUGCUAGACAUGGAGCGCUGAUUUGGGGAACAAAGGUUAUAUUUGGGUCUUUCAUGAGGGCCUCGAAGGAGCCUUGGGAAGCCUUGGAUUCUUUGGGGAUAAGGAUGCAGGCCAUGUGCAAAGGCUGAAAGGCUGAAUUGAUCUGAUGGCUGCUGAAUGAUGCUGGAGGCCAUGUGCAAAGCCUGAAAGGCUGAAUUGAAGUGAUGGCUACUGACUUGCCUUGGAUUCCUUUUCUGAAACGCUUGUCUGUCUUGAGCACCAAAAGGUGCUAGAUGCCUGAAAAUGGAGAACCGUUGAAUAAAAUUUUUUAACUGUAAAUUUUUUUUUUUUAAGGGAAAUGAUUAUUCUUUGAAAAUUUUGUUACUGGAGCUGUUGGGUGAAAAUACUAAAACAGUCAUCUUCAUUGGGUUGGGCUAAAUCUGUUUGGGAGCCAUAGAAUGAACCUGAGCCUUCACUUCUGUUCGAGCCCAUUCUUGAGAAGGCUAUGGGAUUGACUUGGGCUAAAGCUUCCAUAAGGAAGGCUUCAUACUCGACUUGGGAUUUUGCUGAAGAAAGCCUUGCUUGGGUUUGGCUUUUGGACAGGAGGAAAGUUGAAGACUCUCUUAAGCCAGAAUAAGAGAUUGUAGGAUGCUUUGAGAACCAUUCUGAAAUUGCUUCUAUAGUAACAUCCUUGAUGGAGAACUGGUCCCACAAUUUAACUUUGAAAAUUUUCCUAGAAGAGGACGAUUGGAAGGGGAAUUGAGGAUUUGGAAUUGCCAAAAAACUAUCCAUGAUAAUGCGAAAUUUGCAAAAAAUAAGAAUGAUUUGGGAAAUUUCGAAAGCUCAGGAGGAGCUUGAAAUUUUUCUUGGAAGAUUGAAAAUCCCUUGGAUAUAGAAUCAGAGAUAAUUUCUUUGCAGGGACCAAACAUAUGCCACCAGUCAAUGAACCAUCUGGGGACAUUCAGAUUGAAAUUCUUUUGGAAAAGGAUAAGCCAAGAAUGGCUAUAAUCUUAAUUUUAAAAAUAAAAGGUAUUGUACCAGGCAUCCUGAUAGUUCCAGUAAUUGAAAGUUUGAGAAUUGCAAGGCUGAGAAAAUUGCCUCAGAGCAUUAAUGUUUUUACCCAGGCUACUGGAGUAAGGACUUUUUGAAUUGUACAAGUGGUGUGAGAAAUGAAAGACUCAUCACCUGGUUUUGAAUGAGUUCGAAUCUUGAUGGAAUUAGUGUCCACUAAAAUAAACUUAUAAAAAUUUUGUAUUUUUCGAAAAUCUGAUGUAGGAUAAUGAAAACCUUUGACAAAAUGAUUUUGAGAAAGUAAAAUUGGGUUUUGGUUAAAAAGUUCUUUUUCAACCACACAAAUGGUUGAUGAAUUUGGUUUUUGAAAAUAACGAGAUUUUUUUAGAGUGGGAUUAUUAACCACCACUUGUUGCGAAACAGUUCUUGAGGAAAUUUGUUUGUCUGACGUUGAAGAAAUUACAGCAUAAGAUUUUUGAAGGGGAGGAAAAAUUGGUUGUUAGGAUUGUAAGUAUGUUUGGAUGGGAUCAUACUGGAUUGGGGACAUAUCUAUGAUAUGUUGCGGAAUUUUUGUUAGUGCUGAAAACUGGUUCGUAUUCAAUGGAGAUUGGCUCGCACAUAUUGCUGCUUCAUCCUCAACUUUAUCAUACCAGCUUAUUUUGGGAGGGGUUUGGGAAGAGGAUGAUUGUGCAUAGGCAUCUUUUGUUUUGUGGGGUUUUGUGCUAGCAACUGAGGCUCCUCUACCUGUCUUGGGAGGCAUGGUGACCGCCCUUAAGCUCCUACUUUUCCUUGCAAAAAUUCUCUGGUGAGAAAGUCAGGAAGAGAAUUGUUUUCUCCUUUUAUAUAUUCAAUAUCAAAGUCAAAUACGAAAAGAAUAGCUUGCCAUUGGGCAAAAAUUUGUUUUGAAACUAUGUUAUGAACGUCUUUUUUUAAAACAGUUUUUGUAGAUUGGCAAUCAACACGAACCAAAAAUUUUUGAUUUAGUAAAUCACUUUGAAAAUUUGAAAUGCACAAAACUAUAGAUAAAAUUUUCUUUUUGACUGUAGAGUAAUUUUGUUGUUCCUGGUUCCAUCUGCUAGAGGCAAACUGGACUAGUUGUUCCUUGCUACCUGUCUUUUGUUUAAGGAUACCUCCAUAUCCUAAUUCAGAGGCAUCAGUUUCCACAAUUUUGAAGGCUUCUGAAUCAGCAAUAGAUAGGCAAGGGAGGUUUUUUGCUUUGCUUUUAAGGAUUCUGACUGUUCUUGUAUGCUCAUCGGACCAUGAUGGAGGGGUCUUUUUUAGUCUUUGGCAUAAUGGAGCACAAAGAAGGGAAAGAUCUUUGAAGAACUCCGAAAGAUAAUUUAGGCACCCUAAAAUCUUUGAAGCUAGGUUUUGUCUUUAAUUUCAUCAGGGAAUUUGUCAGCAAAUUGGAUGGAUCUAUUGAUUGGGAUAAUAGUUCCCUGAUGGAUCUGAAACCUAGGAACCUGAUCUUGGUGUGGAACAAGAUUAACUUUGAUAAAGAAAUAACUAAUCUAUUAUGCUUGAUGGUUUGAGCAAAU